rnacentral:rRNA from 1 species
UAAGCAAGUGAAGGUACCUGAGGAAUCAGCAUCGGCUAACUCCGUGCCAGCAGCCGCGGUAAUACGGAGGAUGCAAGCGUUAUCCGGAAUGAUUGGGCGUAAAGCGUCCGUAGGUAGCAGUGUGUGUCUAUUGUUAAAGAGUUUGGCUUAACCAAAUAAAGGCGGUAGAAACUACACAGCUAGAGUGCGUUCGGGGCAGAGGGAAUUCCUGGUGUAGCGGUGAAAUGC